GGGCACAGGAGUGGCUUUCUCUCCUUAAUGACAGAGAAGCUGAGAGUGUGGCAGUUUUCAUCUGUUUGGGCAGUGUUGCCCAAACAUUUCCUUUGGUGUUCCUGCCUGUGAAUUCUACUUCUGAACAAAGGAGUUCUCCCUGUACAAGUCAGUCCUCCAUCUUUUAGAUCAGCACUGGUUCUGGCAACUAAGGUCAUCUGAGCCUUGUCUAGACCUGUGCCUUUAAAAUAAACAAACUCCAAGAAGAAAAUCAAUACCUUAGGUGGAAGAAUUCAUGCAUUUCAGAGCUUCAGGAAGGAACCAUGGCUAUGGGAUAGCUUUAUAACUGUGACCACUGUGGCCCUUGCUGAUUGCUGCAAGCAGACCAGGCAUCCAUUCAGUUCUUCCAGGGGACUGGUGAGUUGGAAGUAGAGAAUGAUUCUUAAUUGUGUUAAUUUUAUGGGCUAAUAACACU
rnacentral:lncRNA from 1 species